GCUCAGUAACACGUGGUCAAUCUGCCCUAAGGUGGAGGAUACUCCCGGGAAACUGGGGCUAAUACUCCAUAGGCGACACAUCCUGGAACGGGGUGUCGUCGAAAGAUCCGUCGCCUUAGGAUGAGACUGCGUCCGAUUAGGUAGUUGGUGGGGUAAUGGCCCACCAAGCCAGUCAUCGGUACGGGUUGUGGGAGCAAGAUCCCGGAGAUGGAUUCUGAGACAUGAAUCCAGGCCCUACGGGGCGCAGCAGGCGCGCAGACUUUACAAUGCGAGCAAUCGUGAUAAGGAAACCCUGAGUGCCUGUUGAUGCAGGCUGUUCAUCUGUUCAAAUUGCAGGUGAAGAAAGGGCAGGGCAAGACCGGUGCCAGCCGCCGCGGUAAUACCGGCUGCUCGAGUGAUGGCCACUAUUACUGGGUUUAAAGCGUCCGUAGCUUGAUUGUUAGGUCUCUUGGGAAAUCUUCCGGCUUAACCGGAAGGCGUCUAAGGGAUACCGGCGAUCUUGGAACUGGGAGAGGUAAACCGUACUUCGGGGGUAGGAGUGAAAUCUUGUAAUCCUCGAGGGACGACCUAUGGCGAAGGCAGUUUACCAGAACAGCUUCGACAGUGAGGGACGAAAGCUGGGGGAGCAAACGGGAUUAGAUACCCCGGUAGUCCCAGCCGUAAACAAUGUGCGUUAGGCGUAUCGGCAACCACGCGUUACUGAUGCGUCGCAGAGAAAUCGUGAAACGCACCACCUGGGGAAG
rnacentral:rRNA from 1 species